rnacentral:rRNA from 1 species
CGGCGGACGGGUGAGUAACGCGUGGGGAACCUGCCUCAUACAGGGGAAUAACAGUUAGAAAUGACUGCUAAUGCCGCAUAAGCGCACAGUGCCGCAUGGUACAGUGUGAAAAACUCCGGUGGUAUGAGAUGGCCCCGCGUCUGAUUAGGCAGUUGGCGGGGUAACGGCCCACCAAACCGACGAUCAGUAGCCGACCUGAGAGGGUGACCGGCCACAUUGGGACUGAGACACGGCCCAAACUCCUACGGAAGGCAGCAG